rnacentral:rRNA from 1 species
AUACGUGAGGGGCAAACGUUGUUCGGUGUCACUGGGCUUAAAGAGCGCGUAGGUGGUUAUGCAAGUAAGGUGUGAAAGCCCUCGGCUCACCCGAGGAACUGCGCUUUAUACUGCAUGACUUGAGGAUCAGAGAGGUAGGAGGAACUCCAGGUGUAGCGGUGAAAUGCGCAGAUAUCUGGAGGAAGGCCGGCGGCGAAGGCGUCCUACUGGCUGAUUUCUGACACUGAGGCGCGAAAGCGUGGGUAGCGAACAGGAUUAGAAACCCCUGUAGUCC